CACAGCGUCUGGCAACCUAGACCAGCGAGGGCAGAAAAUGGAAAAACUUCUCAAAGAGGCUCCUGCAGAGUCCUUGGAACCUGAAAGCACAGCCAAGUCCCCAGAUGUCAGCCGCACAGACAGCAAGGAAGACAACUGGGUGAACCAGAAUGAAGAAGAGGUAGAUGACCAGACGAAUCACAAAACUGCUGAGCAGCUUGCCCAAAGCGUGUCUGGACAGACUGACCACAAAGACUAUGAACCCCCUGGGCGCCGAACAUACGAUCAGGCUGACCUAAGAGCAUCCGACCAUGCUAAUGUUGCUCAGCCUGGUACAUUUGAUCAGGAUGACCAAAGAAUAUAUGAGAAGACAUCUGGCCAAGCCCAUCGUGACAGCAAGGUGUCUCUUCUGCAUGAACAAAGAACUUCUGUACAGAUUGACCACGGAAUGUCCAGCCAAGCCUUGCGAAGAACUUCUGAACAGAUUGACAGCAGAUUGUCCGGCCUGGUUGAACGAAGAACUUCUGAACCGAUGGGCUAUAGCCGGUCUAACCAAGUUGACCCCAGAACAUCUAUAAAGACUCACCACACAGUGUACCACCAGGAAGCUACUGAACUAGCUACACAGCAAACUGCUGACCUGGUUGGCAGUAGUGCUGAUCACCUUACAGUGGACAAGACUGACUCCAGCGAUGAUUACAUGGUUGACCACUUAAUGGAUGAAGAGAAUUACUCCAGAAAAGACUCUCUGGCUGACUAUGAAGCACCUGGCCAGGAGGACGACAGAAUAUUGACCCAAUCUGGUGACAGUAAGGAGUACAAAGAGGCUGAAUUCAGAGUAGAACCCUGCAAAUUUGAGGCCAGAAAAGACCAUGACAGUUCCUGGGUUUCAGCUGAAACUGACACAGAAAGUGUAACCAAUCUGCAAGCAUUUGACUCAUUUGAUGCCAGAUUCAUCAGUAAUUUCCAAGCAAAAGACCAAGUCUAUUCCCAAAGAUUUCCCUCUACCUCACCCAAGCUGGACUAUGUCGUUGGUCAAGAGAAAACUAAAGCCAUAGAAAACAAGCUUGAUGAUAUUCCAGAAUACCAAGAAGGAUCUCUUGGAUACGGUCAGACUUAUAUGGGGCAAUUCCCUCCUAUUGUAUAUGAAGAUCCUUAUCAAGUUGCGCUACAGUACAUGGAGAAACACCACAUUCUGCAAAUAUUUCAGCAGAUCACCGAAAACUUAGUCUAUGAAAAGCCAGAGGACCCCCUGCAUUUUAUGCUGUACAAGCUAAUCCACAUGGACUAGAUCAGCAGGCUCUCAUUCCUUCUGACUUCCGGCUGGGUUAAACCAAUGGGAAAACCUAGAGGAAGAUUGGAAGGAGGAAAGAAGAUACAGGAAAUGAUAGAAAACAGAGACAAAUGUGAAACCUACAAAGAAUGAAUUUCUCCUCAACAUUCUCCUCAGUAUCAACACUAUGUUCUGUUUUUCACUCUGAAAAAUAAUUUUUGAAUCGUCAUUGGUAGUGAUUCUGCCUAAAUGUGUUCUUAUUUUUUCACUGAAAAUCUGUAAGUUAUCCACUUCAAAAAUUCAUUUAAUAGUUACAGAUACCUCAGGCUUAUCAUGCAACAUAUAUGCAUGCAGUACUUAUCCAUGCCUUGAUAUUUCAACACUCACUCCUCCAAAGCACUGCGCAAUAACAAGGUCACAAAUCCCAAAGAGGAUCAAGAAAAGAUUAGUAAUUUAUUUGUAGUUCUCAUAAAGCAUACAACUCUAUUAUGUCUCCAAGCUGUUUAUAAAAUUUUCAGUCAGAAGAUGCACGUAAAAUAAAUUUUAACAGCACUUUUUUUUCUCUCUUCAUGGAAGGUGAUUGUUGUAAUCUCUUUUUUCUUGUUUCUUAAUACCUCCAACAUAUUUUUACUAUUUUCCUCUUUGACCUUGCCUGUUAUAUUCUGCCAUUAGUGGAUGUGAUUUAAUCUAAUCCUUGGGAUACCUCUUCUGAUUUUUUACCUACAGCAAAAUUCAAACAUGUUACACUACUAUGUACACACCUGUGGGAGAGGCAGACUCACACUUCCUCAUCACCUUUAUCCCCUGAAGAGUAUCCACACUGUGUGGAAUGUGCAACCAGUAAAACUGGUUAUUUAUAUGCAAAAAGCCUUAACACAGUCUGUCUGGUAUGAGCGGAUCUGCCUAGCAUUCAUAACUGAGAUGAUCACCUACUACUAGUUUUGUAAGCUGAACCUGUUGUUUAAUUUCUAUUUUAACAUUAAAGCAGAAUUGAUUCUUUAUACUGUUUAACUUCUGACUUGGUGUAAUUUCGUGGUUUCAUUACAAUAAAUUGUUUCUGUUUGAACAAUAAAGCACAAAUCCUAUUUUUUAA